rnacentral:ncRNA from 1 species
ACCUCGUUUAGUUUAUUAGCAUUUAUAAAAUUAUUUGUAAGGACCUUAUUCUUUCAAUGUUUUAAUGUAAAAUUACAUGUGCAUGCGACAUAUUUUGCGAGACUCUUGAGGAAACAGGAUAAGCAGAAGACUACAAGCUGAAGCUGUCCUCUAAGAAAGUGCGAGCCAAUAAUACGAAGUAUUGAACAAAAAAG